rnacentral:tRNA from 14 species
GGCGGUGUAGCUCAGCUGGCUAGAGCGUUCGGUUCAUACCCGAAAGGUCGGGGGUUCGAUCCCCUUCGCCGCUA